rnacentral:lncRNA from 1 species
CCCAGGAACAGGUGUAGUAUUACUGAGUGCUAAUGAUCAAGGAAUUUUUAGUUACUCAAUGAUGGUCCGACGUGCAGAUAAUAAUGAGAAUUGCCACCUUCAAGUAUGAGAGGAAGAAGUCGUGGAAACAACCAACCUAUUUCAAAUUGUAUAUGUAGGGUGGCCCGUUCCAGGUCAUAAUGGCUACUAUCUACUAUGCCGCUACCAGCCACUACCAGUUACUUACUUAGCCGGUGGUUACUAUCUGAAAUAUAGAAUUUUGUACGUAGUAUAUCGUUUAGGUCGAGGUUCUGCCGCGAGCUAUCCAGCUUUUUUCAGUCAAGACGGAGUCCCACCCAGAUGUGAGAAAUUUGGGAAGACUAUGUCUCGUGCGUGAGUCAGCUUAUCCUGAUCAAAGAGGUGCGCAGUACUGAUCUAGAAGACAAGGAAGAGAUCUUUUCUCGUUGUUCCUAGAGACUCUGUUUGUGUGAAGUACAUCACCAGGUACAAGAUCGAAAGAUAUGGAGCAAUGUCAUGCCCAAAAAGGUGAUAACUACUGGCAUCGGGCCGUUGGCCCUAUCAAUAUCUAUUCUUUCACUUUCAAGUCGUUCUAUUCAACUCAAAAUCAAGGAGGUCAUCGCAAGCUAUGCCUAUCGCUUCCCCUCACGCACCUACGAGGCUAUGCCACUACAAAACAAAAGCAAUCGAUCCAUUUUUUGGGUCAAGGGAUUGAAACUCUCGAGAUUUCCACUAUUUUCUUGUUUCUGCCGUUCGCCGAUGAUCUGGUGUGCUUUUCAAAACCCAUCUUUUAUGCCCAUGGGAGAUGGAAGCAGCUGUUUCGUUAGGAUGUGGCAAGAGCGGUCCUCCUUUUUCAAUUGCAAAGCAAUCAUUACUAUGCUAUCGCGGGAAGGGCCUUCAGUUCAGCAGAUAUAAUGUUAUCGAUGCCAGUCGGUCUAAGCGUAGGAUCCUCCCCUCUCUUCGAUCGGGUUAGUAUGUGCGAAUCUCUGGUUCGGGAAAGGCUUUGCGGGAAUGCCAAAGCAUAUAGACCAUCUUCCUCCUUUGUUGGAUAGGCCUUUUUCCGAUAGAUCAAAUAGUCCGUCCAAUAGCGCCUCCAUUCGGGAAUGAGAUAAAAUCGCGAGUAGACAACUUGCCAGUGGUGGUGCAUCGAAAUCCCAGUCAAGAUCAACACUAAAGGAUGCGUGGCGGCAUACCAAGCGAGAGUCCAUAACUCUCAGUUUAAUCUGAGAGUCCAUGAAUGGAAGCACUGCUUUCUCUUUCGGCUGAGCCUUUGGUCGAGCCUACCAAGCUUGCUCUCCCUUCAUUCCCAUCCUGCUAAGCUGAGGCUACCAGCGCAUUGUAUCUAACCCACUGUGGCAAAUCGAUACAAUAAACAGCUUGCUAUACCAUACAAAGGCAUCUCCGGCCGAACGGUUUUUACUUUGAACUAAUGGUUCGCUACUAGAUAGAUUCUUUCAUUCCUUAAGUGAGCUUAACCUAUGAAACUACUUGAUCGACCUCUACUCCGUUUCACUCUAUUUGAUUUAUUUUAUAGUUUUUCGAACAAAGCCGUAUACGUAUACAAGAAAGAUUGCUCCAACGACAAAAGGAAAGAGAAUGCUUGGUAGCAGGACAGUAGGAGUUCAGUAGGCGGGCCAGUAGCACGCAUGCCAAGGAUAGCUGUCCAAGGGUUGAAAGCCAGUAGUAAACCAGUCAGCUAGCUGAAGUUAGAAAGUUCAGAAGUAGCUGUCUACUAGCAGCACAUUCAUCGUAUAGAAUAGUAUGCCACACUGUCAUUUCCUGUUGAUGGUGAGUGAAAAAGAUGAAUCCUAUAAUAAGCAUCUCAUGCCAUGGUUGUUGUGAAAGAAGAAACUCUUGGACGAAAUGCCUUCUUAGCCAUUGAAUCAACUCCUGGUGAUGAAGAAGAAGAAGGAGCUGUAGUUGUGAGGAAGGGAAUGAUUGCACUAGUCCCACACCCACGGACAGACAGAAGGAAUAGAAUAUGCUCUUUGAAGGACGUUAAUCAAUAGGAGAAAGAUAGCUACGCACAGAAGUCGCUGCAAUUGCUAUUUCAUUCCCUCCCACUCUUCUAGCUCUGAUCGUAAACGCUCUUCUUCCAAUACAAUAGGAGUGAUUCUUUGCCUUGACGCUGUGGGAGCUUCCGGUCCUUGGGGUUGCUUUGCUUCCACCUAUCCGCUUUUGGGUUCAUAAACCGGUCCUAUUGAAUCAGUAGCACAUGAAUAAGGUCUUCUCGGCUUUCCCUUUCCCGGGAUUUCUCCUUCUCCUUGGCAACAACCAGUCAAAAUUGUAAGAAGGAUUGUAUCAGAGAAAUCGUUGUUUCAAGCCCUUCGUGUACCUUUGCGUCUAACUAAGGGUUUUGUGUUUCACCGUAGAAUCGACAUACGAACUCGAAUAUGCGCAUAAACCCUUCCUUGUGAGUUGGGAACCCACUAGUUGGCAAAAAAAUGCCCAGGAACAGGUGUAGUAUUACUGAGUGCUAAUGAUCAAGGAAUUUUUAGUUACUCAAUGAUGGUCCGACGUGCAGAUAAUAAUGAGAAUUGCCACCUUCAAGUAUGAGAGGAGAAGUCGUGGAAACAACCAACCUAUUUCAAAUUGUAUAUGUAGGGUGGCCCGUUCCAGGUCAUAAUGGCUACUAUCUACUAUGCCGCUACCAGCCACUACCAGUUACUUACUUAGCCGGGUUACUAUCUGAAAUAUAGAAUUUUGUACGUAGUAUCGUUUAGGUCGAGGUUCUGCCGCGAGCUAUCCAGCUUUUUUCAG